GACGAACGCUGGCGGCGUGCCUAAUACAUGCAAGUCGAACGGAAAGGCCCUGCUUUUGUGGCGUGCUCGAGUGGCGAACGGGCGAGUAACACGCGCGUAACCUGCCCUUGACUUUGGGAUAACUUCAGGUAACUGGGGCUAACUCCGGACAGGAGCCACUGUUGCAUGGUGGGGGUUGGAAUGUUUCGUCGGUAGGGGAUGGACUCGCGGCUUAUUAGCUUGUUGGUGGGGUAGUGGCUUACUAAGGCUUCGCCGGGUAGCCGGCCUGGGAGGGUGAUCGGCGACAUUGGGACUGAGGUACGGCGCAGACGCCUACGGGAGGCAGCAGUGGGGAAUAUUGCACAAUAGGCGGAAGCCUGAUGCAGCAACGCCGCGUGCGGAAUGACGGCCUUCGGGUGAUAAACCGCUUUCGCCUGUGACGAAGCGUGAGUGACGGUAAUGGGUAAAGAAGCACCGGCUAACUACGUG
rnacentral:rRNA from 1 species